UUGGUCACGCCCGAAGUCGUUACCCCAACCUUUUGGAGGGGGAUGCCUAAGGUAGGACUGAUGACUGGGGUGAAGUCGUAACAAGGUAGCCGUACCGGAAGGUGUGGCUGGAUCACCUCCUUUUAGGGAGACCUAAUCUAUUUAGAACUUGAAAGCAAUGAAAAUUGCUAAUAGAGCCUAAAUUGGUCUAACCUAGGUCGGUCGCAGACUUGAAGUAAAGCUUUCAAACUAUGAUUUGGUUCGAUAAGGGCUAUUAGCUCAGGUGGUUAGAGCGCACCCCUGAUAAGGGUGAGGUCCCUGGUUCGAGUCCAGGAUGGCCCACCUGAACCAAUUAAAAAUGCAAAAUUAAGAAUUAAAAAUGCAGAAUAUCUUUGUUUUUAAUUUUUAAUUAUCAAUUUUUAAUUGUUUUUGGGGGUUUAGCUCAGUUGGUAGAGCGCCUGCUUUGCAAGCAGGAUGUCAGCGGUUCGAGUCCGCUAACCUCCACAUUUG
rnacentral:misc_RNA from 1 species